rnacentral:rRNA from 1 species
UCCCUAAAUAGGGACUAGUAUGAACGGCUAAAUGAGGACUUUGCUGUCUCUUGCCGCCAGUCAAUGAAACUGAUCUCCCAGUCCAAAAGCUGGAAUAACACCAUAAGACAAAAAGACCCUGUGGAGCUUUAAAACCAAAACCACUAAAACUGUCCACUUGGUUUUUAGUUGGGGCGACUUCGGAGUAAAAACAAACCUCCGAAACAAUGGACCUUUCCAUAUCACGGCCAACACGCCAAAAUAAUCAAAACUUGACCCAGAUCUUAAUUAGUCUGACCAAUGAACCAAGUUACCCCAGGGAUAACAGCGCCAUCUUCUUUUAGAGUCCAUAUCGACAAGAAGGUUUACGACCUCGAUGUUGGAUCAGGACACCCCAAUAGUGCAGCCGCUAUUAAAGGUUCG